UGCAUGAAGUUGGAAUUGCUAGUAAUCGCGAAUCAGAAUGUCGCGGUGAAUACGUUCCCGGGCCUUGUACACACCGCCCGUCACACCAUGAGAGUCGAUAACACCCGAAGCCUGUGAGCUAACCGCAAGGAGGCAGCAGUCGAAGGUGGGGUUGAUGAUUGGGGUGAAGUCGUAACAAGGUAAC
rnacentral:rRNA from 1 species